GUAGUGAGUUUAAUCAAUGAAAACAAAUCAGUCAGCAGAGCAUGAGAUUCUUAAUCUCAGGGUUGUGGGUUCAAGCCCCACCUUGUGCA